AUACGUAGGUGACAAGCGUUAUCCGGAAUCAUUGGGCGUAAAGAGUGCGUAGGUGGUUUCUUAAGCGUGGGGUUUAAGGCUACGGCUUAACCGUAGUUCGCCCCAUGAACUGGGAGACUUGAGUGCAGGAGGGGAAAGUGGAAUUCCUGGUGUAGCGGUGAAAUGCGCAGAUAUCAGGAGGAACACCGGUGGCGAAGGCGGGUCUCUGGGCAGUAACUGACGCUGGGGCGCGAAAGCGUGGGGAGCAAACAGGAUUAGAUACCCGGGUAGUCCACGCCGUAAACGAUGAAUACUAGGUGCAGGGGGUAUCGACUCCCUCUGUGCCGCAGUUAACACAAUAAGUAUUCCGCCUGGGGAGUACGGCCGCAAGGUUGAAACUCAAAGGAAUUGACGGGG
rnacentral:rRNA from 1 species